GACAGAGGGUGCAAACGUUGUUCGGAAUUAUUGGGCGUAAAGAGCUCGUAGGCGGUUUGUCGCGUCUGCUGUGAAAUCCCGAGGCUCAACCUCGGGCUUGCAGUGGGUACGGGCAGACUAGAGUGCGGUAGGGGAGACUGGAAUUCCUGGUGUAGCGGUGGAAUGCGCAGAUAUCAGGAGGAACACCGAUGGCGAAGGCAGGUCUCUGGGCCGCAACUGACGCUGAGGAGCGAAAGCAUGGGGAGCGAACAGG
rnacentral:rRNA from 1 species